UUUUCAUCAGACAAUCUGUGUGAGCACUGCAAAGUACGCUUCUUUAAGGUAAGGAGGUGAUCCAACCGCAGGUUCCCCUACGGUUACCUUGUUACGACUUCACCCCAGUCAUGAAUCACAAAGUGGUAAGCGCCCUCCCGAAGGUUAAGCUACCUACUUCUUUUGCAACCCACUCCCAUGGUGUGACGGGCGGUGUGUACAAGGCCCGGGAACGUAUUCACCGUGGCAUUCUGAUCCACGAUUACUAGCGAUUCCGACUUCAUGGAGUCGAGUUGCAGACUCCAAUCCGGACUACGACGCACUUUAUGAGGUCCGCUUGCUCUCGCGAGGUCGCUUCUCUUUGUAUGCGCCAUUGUAGCACGUGUGUAGCCCUGGUCGUAAGGGCCAUGAUGACUUGACGUCAUCCCCACCUUCCUCCAGUUUAUCACUGGCAGUCUCCUUUGAGUUCCCGGCCGGACCGCUGGCAACAAAGGAUAAGGGUUGCGCUCGUUGCGGGACUUAACCCAACAUUUCACAACACGAGCUGACGACAGCCAUGCAGCACCUGUCUCACGGUUCCCGAAGGCACAUUCUCAUCUCUGAAAACUUCCGUGGAUGUCAAGACCAGGUAAGGUUCUUCGCGUUGCAUCGAAUUAAACCACAUGCUCCACCGCUUGUGCGGGCCCCCGUCAAUUCAUUUGAGUUUUAACCUUGCGGCCGUACUCCCCAGGCGGUCUACUUAACGCGUUAGCUCCGGAAGCCACGCCUCAAGGGCACAACCUCCAAGUAGACAUCGUUUACGGCGUGGACUACCAGGGUAUCUAAUCCUGUUUGCUCCCCACGCUUUCGCACCUGAGCGUCAGUCUUUGUCCAGGGGGCCGCCUUCGCCACCGGUAUUCCUCCAGAUCUCUACGCAUUUCACCGCUACACCUGGAAUUCUNNNNNNNNNNNNNNNNNNNNCCUGGAAUUCUACCCCCCUCUACAAGACUCAAGCCUGCCAGUUUCGAAUGCAGUUCCCAGGUUGAGCCCGGGGAUUUCACAUCCGACUUGACAGACCGCCUGCGUGCGCUUUACGCCCAGUAAUUCCGAUUAACGCUUGCACCCUCCGUAUUACCGCGGCUGCUGGCACGGAGUUAGCCGGUGCUUCUUCUGCGGGUAACGUCAAUUGCUGCGGUUAUUAACCACAACACCUUCCUCCCCGCUGAAAGUACUUUACAACCCGAAGGCCUUCUUCAUACACGCGGCAUGGCUGCAUCAGGCUUGCGCCCAUUGUGCAAUAUUCCCCACUGCUGCCUCCCGUAGGAGUCUGGACCGUGUCUCAGUUCCAGUGUGGCUGGUCAUCCUCUCAGACCAGCUAGGGAUCGUCGCCUUGGUGAGCCGUUACCUCACCAACAAGCUAAUCCCAUCUGGGCACAUCUGAUGGCAAGAGGCCCGAAGGUCCCCCUCUUUGGUCUUGCGACGUUAUGCGGUAUUAGCCACCGUUUCCAGUAGUUAUCCCCCUCCAUCAGGCAGUUUCCCAGACAUUACUCACCCGUCCGCCACUCGUCAGCAAAGCAGCAAGCUGCUUCCUGUUACCGUUCGACUUGCAUGUGUUAGGCCUGCCGCCAGCGUUCAAUCUGAGCCAUGAUCAAACUCUUCAAUUUAAAAGUUUGAUGCUCAAUGAAUUAAACUUCGUAAUGAAUUACGUGUUCACUCUUGAGACUUGGUAUUCAUUUUUCGUC
rnacentral:rRNA from 1 species